rnacentral:lncRNA from 1 species
AAGAAAAGAAAAGGCCGGGGCAAGGCCGGGAAGAAGCAGAAGCAGAAGAAGCCGGAAGUAGACAUCCUCAGCCCGGCAGCCAUGUUGAACCUAUACUACAUCGCUCACAAUGUUGCCGACUGCCUGUAUCUGCGUGGCUUCCCUUGGCCAGGCGCUCCCAAAGGGAAAAGGGGGAAAAAAUAAGAUUUAGGUGGUAGAAUUCAAAGCAUGCCUUGGUCUCAAAGAACAGAAAGUAGGAGAAUGCAUUUAGGGUACCUCAAGGACUGCGGGCAAGCGGGCUCUAACAGCCAAGUAGAAACAUGUAGCCACUGUACUUUUCUGUGGUAAAUAAUGACAAACAUUUUUAUUUCCACAGCUGAGCCAGGCAAUAGGUAAGCCACUUUGUUUUUUCAGAAGUAACCAGGAAAACCAAACCCAAGUAGUUCAUAAAGGCUACCCUGGCAUUGGUAGUGUUUUUUUUAAAUAUUAUACUCAUAAAUCUAGACUGAAUUAAACCUUGUUCUCAGAAGGCAGCUCCAGGUUGCAUGAGUCGUUUUCUUUUGUGAGAGCUGGCUCAGAGAAGCAGAGAGCUCAGGCCUAACUUGUAAGCACGUUUUCUGCUGUGGUUUGGUUUGGGGUCUCUCUCUCUCUCUCUCUCUCUCUCUCUCUCUCUCUCUCUCUCAACGAUGGGAAUGAGCCUAGGGCCUCUGCUCAGAAAGAGCUCUGCCAUUAAACUACUCCUCGCUACCCCCCCCCCUUUUAACAAAAUUGAAAUAAAUAACUUGUUUUAAUAAA